UAGGAUGACCAACUGUCCUGGUUUGCCUGAAACAGAGGCAUUUCCCAGGACACAGGACUCUUUGAAAGCUAAAAGCAGGACAGUUCUGGGUAAUCCAGAACAGUUGGUCAUUCUAAUUAAAA
rnacentral:pre_miRNA from 9 species